rnacentral:piRNA from 1 species
UGGUGAGAUGCUACUUUCAGAAUUGGA